rnacentral:rRNA from 1 species
UACCGCACCCCGAGUGGUCGGGACGAUUAUUGGGCCUAAAGCAUCCGUAGCCGGUUUUACAAGUCCUCCGUUAAAUCCAGCUGCUUAACAGAUGGGCUGCGGAGGAUACUAUAAGACUAGGAGGCAGGAGAGGCAAGCGGUACUCAGUGGGUAGGGGUAAAAUCCGUUGAUCCAUUGAAGACCACCAGUGGCGAAGGCGGCUUGCCAGAAUGCGCUCGACGGUGAGGGAUGAAAGCUGGGGGAGCAAACCGG